CUUGUUUUUGGGCAAUCUAGCCAAGGUGUCACAUAAUGGAGAAAAAUGCAGAUGGUCCUGUGGCUGGUGUGAAUGAAGAAUGACCUGGGCCCAACAUAGAACUUUUCCAGUAUGGAUCACACGGGACUUGAGCAUGUACUGUGGGAACAGAGCAUGGCCAUCUCUGUCUCCCUGGGAAGGAAGAUGUGGAGAGGCUUGGAUAAUGAUUUGAUAACACCUUGUGCAUCCUCCUAACCCUCCUGAAAAAAACAAAGUGAGGAAAGGAGGAAUUUUAGGAAAAAGGAGAAAACCAAGGAACUGGAAGAAACAGAAGAGUACCCAGCCAUUUGGGGAUGAGGAAGCAGCUUACGAUGAUGGGGUUCAGUUUGGACUGGGAUUGCAGCAGAAAGGGGCACUUGGAAGGCAGGGGGAAGAAGUCUACAGAUGACCUUUAGAUUUUGGGUUCAGGAGUGUGAAUUUUAGCUGAUGAGCGAGGGGAGACUUUGGAAGGUCUCUGCAUGUGGGGAGCCAAACUCUAGAGAAGACAUCAGUGAACUGCUGAUUUGGAGUGACUGACACUUAUUCCUGAGAGUAGGAUUCUCCAGAGAAACAGAAACAAUAGGAGAUAAGAGAGACAGACAGAGACAGAGAGAUAAUGAGAGACAGGAAGAAAGAUUCAUUAUGAAGAACCUGGAGCUGUGCGGACUGAGACUGAGAUGCAUCGCUGAAACUCUCUUUAGGUGUUCCCUACCAUUUCUUCUUGGAAAAGA
rnacentral:lncRNA from 1 species